rnacentral:rRNA from 1 species
UGCCAGCCGCCACGGUAACACGAACUGCGCAAGCGUUAUUCGGAAUCACUGGGCUUAAAGAGUUCGUAGGCGGCCUAGCAGGUGAGGUGUGAAAUCCCUCGGCUCAACCGAGGAAUUGCGCUUCAAACCACUAGGCUUGAGGGAGGCAGAGGUGAGUGGAACUGAUGGUGGAGCGGUGAAAUGCGUUGAUAUCAUCAGGAACACCAGUGGCGAAGGCGACUCACUGGGCCUCUUCUGACGCUGAGGAACGAAAGCUAGGGGAGCAAACAGGAUUAGAUA